rnacentral:rRNA from 1 species
AGUCGAGCGAGUCUGCCUUGAAGAUCGGAGUGCUUGCACUCUGUGAAACAAGAUACAGGCUAGCGGCGGACGGGUGAGUAACACGUGGGUAACCUGCCCAAGAGAUCGGGAUAACACCUGGAAACAGAUGCUAAUACCGGAUAACAACAGAUGAUGCCUAUCAACUGUUUAAAAGAUGGUUCUGCUAUCACUCUUGGAUGGACCUGCGGUGCAUUAGCUAGUUGGUAGGGUAACGGCCUACCAAGGCGAUGAUGCAUAGCCGAGUUGAGAGACUGAUCGGCCACAUUGGGACUGAGACACGGCCCAAACUCCUACGGGAGGCAGCAGUAGGGAAUCUUCCACAAUGGACGCAAGUCUGAUGGAGCAACGCCGCGUGAGUGAAGAUGGGUUUCGGCUCGUAAAGCUCUGUUGUUGGUGAAGAAGGACAGGGGUAGUAACUGACCUUUGUUUGACGGUAAUCAAUUAGAAAGUCACGGCUAACUACGUGCCAGCAGCCGCGGUAAUACGUAGGUGGCAAGCGUUGUCCGGAUUUAUUGGGCGUAAAGCGAGUGCAGGCGGCUCGAUAAGUCUGAUGUGAAAGCCUUCGGCUCAACCGGAGAAUUGCAUCAGAAACUGUCGAGCUUGAGUACAGAAGAGGAGAGUGGAACUCCAUGUGUAGCGGUGAAAUGCGUAGAUAUAUGGAAGAACACCGGUGGCGAAGGCGGCUCUCUGGUCUGUUACUGACGCUGAGGCUCGAAAGCAUGGGUAGCGAACAGGAUUAGAUACCCUGGUAGUCCAUGCCGUANACGAUGAGUGCUAAGUGUUGGGAGGUUUCCGCCUCUCAGUGCUGCAGCUAGCGCAUUAAGCACUC